GCGAUGAACCGGGCAGCCGCGGCAGGCCGCGCCGUUUACGGCAGACCUGUCGAGGAAAGUCCGGGCUCCGCAGGGCAUGAUGCCGGGUAACACCCGGGCGGACAAAGCCAAAGCUUUGUCUGACAGAAAGCGCAACAGAAAAUAUACCGCCUGGCCUCCUUGAGAAAGCAAUUUCUCCUGCGCCGGGUAAGGGUGAAAAGGCGCGGGUAAGAGCCCACCGCAGCGCCGGUAACGGCGCCGAUCUGGCAAGCCUCAUCAGGAGCAAGGCCAAGCAGCGGGUAUUAUGCCAAUGCCCAUUGGUUACCCGCGGGUAGGCCGCAGGACGCCGUCCGCAAGAACGGCGCAAGACAGAUGGCUGCCCUCAGACUUCGCAAGAAGUCUGAGUACAAAACCCGGCUUACAGGUUCAUCGCCUUU
rnacentral:RNase_P_RNA from 1 species